CUAUGGUUUAUUGGAUCGUACCCGUUAAAUGGAUAACUGUAAUAACUCUAGAGCUAAUACAUGCCUCGAUGCCCUGAGCCUGGUUGUUGCCUUGCGGCAGCGAGUGGGGGAUGGGUGCACUUAUUAGAUCAGAAGCCAACCAGUCUGCCGACUGCACGCGUGUGUGCCUGCCUGCCUGCAUGCAUGCAUGCAUGCAUGCGUGUGGAUGUGUGUGUGGGCUGUGAGAGGGGACUUCUGGUGACUCUGGAUAAUUGUUACAGAUCGCAGUCGGCCUUGAGUCGGCGACGGGUCCUUCAAAUGUCUGCCCUAUCAACUGUCGAUGGUAGGUGAUCUGCCUACCAUGGUGAUAACGGGUAACGGGGAAUCAGGGUUCGAUUCCGGAGAGGGAGCCUGAGAAACGGCUACCACUUCCAAGGGAGGCAGCAGGCGCGCAAAUUACCCACUCCCAGCACGGGGAGGUGGUGACGAAAAAUACCGAUGCGGGACUCCUUCAAGAGGCUCCGUAAUCGGAAUGAGUGGACUCUAAAUCCUUUCACGAGGAUCAAUUGGAGGGCAAGUCUGGUGCCAGCAGCCGCGGUAACUCCAGCUCCAAUAGCGUAUAUUAAAGUUGCUGCAGUUAAAAAGCUCGUAGCUGGAUCUCGGUGGCAUUGUUGCCUGUCGGUGGUUGAGCGGCUGGUGUGUGGCUAUUGGCACGUCGCUCUGGUCGCCGCCGCUUCGGUGUGUGUGUGUGUGUGGGUGAGUGAGUGAGUGAGUGAGUGAGUGGGUUAGUGGGUGGAUGGAGCGUGGAGCGUCAGUCGACUGUCGGUUGGCGGUGCAGAUGAGUGAGUAGGUGGGCAGGUGGAUGGGCAGCAUAUGUGCGAGUGAGUGAGUGAGUGAGUGAGUGAGUGAAUGGGUGGGUGAAUAGGUGAGCGUGUGGUUGGGUGGGAGCGCUGGGCUGUCGCAUGCGAUGGCUGGCGCGUUCACUGAGCCGCUUGCUUGCUUGUAUGUCCGCCUGCUCGCUUGCUGGCUGACUCGUGCACUGGUCUGCCUGUCUGCCUGCCUGGCUGUCUGCUUGCUCGCGCGCAUUGUUGACCGGUUGGGAGGUUGGCGCGUUCCUUCGCUCAUUCGCUCGCUGGCUUGCUGGCUGGCUGGCUGGCUGGCUCGCUCGUUCGAUCACACGCCGUGGUUUGGUUGUCGGGGUGGCGUUGAUGUGGUCAUGAUGAAACGCUGCCGUGUCAAGCCGACAAGGCGAUGGUGUCGCCUGUAAGCCAUGUCUGCGGUGUAGCAACUGCAGGUGUGGGCGAGUGGUGGAUGGUGUUGUACGCACACACGUUGUGCAGCCUGUCAGCUCGUCUGCAUGCCUUUGGAUGCCCUUGAAAAGGUGUCUGCGGGCGGAUGGCACGUUUACUUUGAACAAAUUUGAGUGCUCAAGGCAGGCCGAUGUUGCCUGAAAAGUUUUGCAUGGAAUAAUGGAAUAGGACUUCGGUUCUAUUUCGUUGGUUUUCGGAUCCGAAGUAAUGAUCAAAAGAGACAGGCGGGGACGUUUGUAUGGCUGCGCUAGAGGUGAAAUUCAUGGACCGUAGCCAGACAAACUAAAGCGAAAGCAUUCGUCAAGCAUGUUUUCAUUGGCCAUGAGCGAAAGUCAGAGGCUCGAAGACGAUCAGAUACCGUCCUAGUUCUGACCAUAAACGAUGCCAACUGACGAUCCGUGGUGGUAGUCGUGUUACCUUCCCCACGGGCAGUCCCCGGGAAACCUUUAAGUGUUUGGGUUCCGGGGGAAGUAUGGUUGCAAAGCUGAAACUUAAAGGAAUUGACGGAAGGGCACCACCAGGAGUGGAGCCUGCGGCUUAAUUUGACUCAACACGGGAAAACUCACCCGGGCCGGACACUAUGAGGAUUGACAGAUUGAGAGCUCUUUCUUGGUUUGGUGGUUGGUGGUGCAUGGCCGUUCUUAGUUGGUGGAGCGAUUUGUCUGGUUAAUUCCGAUAACGAACGAGACUCCAGCCUGCUAAUUAGUGCAUUUGUCCACUGCACCUGUGACGGUGGCGUUGGACGAUACCGGCUGCCGCGAGGCAUGCGCUUUGGCGUUGUCACUGCUGGUGUCGUAUGCUGCAUGCAUGCGGUGCACGUCAGCGUUCUGCUGCUGCUCCCGCUCCUCCUUCUCCUCCCCCGUGUCGUUGUUGUCAUUGUUGCUGUUGUUGUCGUCGUCCUCGGCGAUGGCGGUGGCGGUGGCGAUGGCAGUGGCGGCGGCGGCGGCAAGGUUUGCGCAAGGGUGGUGGGAUGGCGGUUGAGUGUGGCGAUGGCGGUGGGAGUGUGUGAAGCGCGGGCCUUGUGGCUGGUUAGGCCGGCGCUGGCCUCCGGGUGUGGCGCGAAUGCUUACUACUUCUUAGAGGGACAAGCGGGAGAAGCCGCACGAAAUAGAGCAAUAACAGGUCUGUGAUGCCCUUAGAUGUCCGGGGCCGCACGCGCGCUACAAUGACGGUGUCAGCGAGUCAGACCUUCUGGCCCGAGAGGGUUGGGCAAACUGGUCAAUCACCGUCGUGACAGGGAUCGGGGCUUGGAAUUGUUCCCCGUGAACGAGGAAUUCCUAGUAAGUGCAAGUCAUAAGCUUGCGCUGAUUACGUCUCUGCCCUUUGUACACACCGCCCGUCGCUACUACCGAUUGAAUGGUUUAGUAAGGUCCUUGGAUUGGCGUCAUCGCAGCGGCGGUCGCCGACGCCGCCAUUGAGGCGAGGAGGUGGCUGCCCGAGAGGCGCCGAGAAGACGACCAAACUUGAUCAUUUAGA
rnacentral:rRNA from 1 species